AGAGUUUGAUCCUGGCUCAGGAUGAACGCUAGCGGCAGGCUUAACACAUGCAAGUCGAGGGGCAGCAUGGGGAGUAGCAAUACUCUCUGAUGGCGACCGGCGCAAGGGUGCGUAACGCGUGAGCAACUUGCCCUCAUCAGGGGAAUAAUCGCUGGAAACGGCGUCUAAUGCCCCAUGGCGAUGGAAUCAGGCAUCUGGUUCCAUCUAAAGAUCCGUCGGAUGAGGAUAGGCUCGCGUGACAUUAGCUUGACGGCGGGGUAACGGCCCACCGUGGCGACGAUGUCUAGGGGUUCUGAGAGGAAGGUCCCCCACACUGGAACUGAGACACGGUCCAGACUCCUACGGGAGGCAGCAGUGAGGAAUAUUGGUCAAUGGCCGGAAGGCUGAACCAGCCAUGCCGCGUGAAGGUCAGUGCCCUAUGGGCGUUAAACUUCUUUUGUGCGGGAGCAAUAAGGUCCACGCGUGGGCCGACGAGAGUACCGUACGAAUAAGCAUCGGCUAACUCCGUGCCAGCAGCCGCGGUAAUACGGGGGAUGCAAGCGUUAUCCGGAUUUAUUGGGUUUAAAGGGUGCGUAGGCUGUGAGGUAAGUCAGCGGUGAAAUGCCCCCGCUCAACGGGGUGAAGUGCCAUUGAUACUGCCUUGCUGGAAUGCGGAUGCCGUGGGAGGAAUGUGUGGUGUAGCGGUGAAAUGCAUAGAUAUCACACAGAACACCGAUUGCGAAGGCAUCUCACGAAUCCGCGAUUGACGCUGAUGCACGAAAGCGUGGGUAUCAAACAGGAUUAGAUACCCUGGUAGUCCACGCUGUAAACGAUGAUGACUAACCGUCGGCGAUACACAGUCGGUGGCCAAGCGAAAGCGAUAAGUCAUCCACCUGGGGAGUACGGCCGCAAGGCUGAAACUCAAAGGAAUUGACGGGGGCCCGCACAAGCGGAGGAACAUGUGGUUUAA
rnacentral:rRNA from 1 species